rnacentral:rRNA from 1 species
UCUGCUGUGAAAGACCGGGGCUUAACUCCGGUUCUGCAGUGGGUACGGGCAGACUAGAGUGUGGUAGGGGAGACUGGAAUUCCUGGUGUAGCGGUGAAAUGCGCAGAUAUCAGGAGGAACACCGAUGGCGAAGGCAGGUCUCUGGGCCACUACUGACGCUGAGAAGCGAAAGCAUGGGGAGCGAACAGGAUUAGAUACCCUGGUAGUCCAUGCCGUAAACGUUGGGAACUAGGUGUGGGCCUCAUUCCACGAGGUCCGUGCCGUAGCUAACGCAUUAAGUUCCCCGCCUGGGGAGUACGGCCGCAAGGCUAAAACUCAAAGGAAUUGACGGGGGCCCGCACAAGCGGCGGAGCAUGCGGAUUAAUUCGAUGCAACGCGAAGAACCUUACCAAGGCUUGACAUACACCGGAAUCAUGCAGAGAUGUGUGAGUCUUCGGACUGGUGUACAGGUGGUGCAUGGUUGUCGUCAGCUCGUGUCGUGAGAUGUUGGGUUAAGUCCCGCAACGAGCGCAACCCUCGUUCCAUGUUGCCAGCACGUAAAGGUGGGGACUCAUGGGAGACUGCCGGGGUCAACUCGGAGGAAGGUGGGGAUGACGUCAAAUCAUCAUGCCCCUUAUGUCUUGGGCUUCACGCAUGCUACAAUGGCCAGUACAGAGGGUUGCGUGACCGUGAGGUGGAGCGAAUCCCUUAAAACUGGUCUCAGUUCGGAUUGGGGUCUGCAACUCGACCCCAUGAA